rnacentral:rRNA from 1 species
AUUGAACGCUAGCGGGAUGCUUUACACAUGCAAGUCGAACGAGUGGCGGACGGGUGAGUAAUAUAUCGGAACGUGCCCAGUAGAGGGGGAUAACUACUCGAAAGAGUGGCUAAUACCGCCUACUAUUGGAUGGGCACAUAUUGGAUUAGCUUGUUGGUGGGGUAAAGGCUCACCAAGGCAACGAUCCGUAGCUGGUCUGAGAGGAUGACCAGCCCCACUGGGACGGGGACACGGCCCAGACUCCUACGGUAGGCAGCAGUGGGGAAUUUUGGACAAUGGGGGAAACCCUGAUCCAGCCAUGCCGCGUGUAUGAGAAGGCCUUCGGGUUGUAAAGUACUUUUGGCAGGGAAGCGGUAUCUGCAGAAGAAGCACCGGCUAACUACGUGCCAGCAGCCGCGGUAAUAC